rnacentral:rRNA from 1 species
CCUACGGGAGGCAGCAGUGAGGAAUAUUGGUCAAUGGGCGGAAGCCUGAACCAGCCAAGUCGCGUGAGGGAAGAAGGCCCUGCGGGUCGCAGACCUCUUUGGACGGGGAGCAAGGCCGCCGACGUGUCGGCGGAAGGAGAGUACCCGUAGAACAAGCAUCGGCUAACUCCGUGCCAGCAGCCGCGGUAAUACGGAGGAUUCAAGCGUUAUCCGGAUUUAUUGGGUUUAAAGGGUGCGUAGGCGGUUCGAUAAGUUAGAGGUGAAAUCCCGGGGCUCAACUCCGGCACUGCCUCUGAUACUGUCUG